AUACGGAGGGUGCAAGCGUUACACGGAAUCACUGGGCGUAAAGCGCGCGCAGGCGGCUAUUUAAGUUGGAUGUGAAAGCCUAUGGCUCAACCAUAGAACUGCAUCCAAAACUAUUUAGCUAGAGUGUGGGAGAGGAAGAUGGAAUUAGUUGUGUAGGGGUAAAAUCCGUAGAGAUAACUAGGAAUACCAAAAGCGAAGGCAAUCUUCUGGGACACUACUGACGCUGAGGCGCGAAAGCGUGGGGAGCAAACAGGAUUAGAAACCCUAGUAGUCC
rnacentral:rRNA from 1 species